AUACGUAGGUGGCAAGCGUUGUCCGGAAUUACUGGGUGUAAAGGGAGCGCAGGCGGGGAGACAAGUCAGCUGUGAAAUGUAUGGGCUUAACCCAUAAAUUGCAGUUGAAACUGUUUUUCUUGAGUGGAGUAGAGGUAGGCGGAAUUCCGAGUGUAGCGGUGAAAUGCGUAGAUAUUCGGAGGAACACCAGUGGCGAAGGCGCCUUUCUGGACUGUAACUGACACUGAGGCUCGAAAGCGUGGGGAGC
rnacentral:rRNA from 1 species